rnacentral:rRNA from 2 species
UACGUAGGGUGCGAGCGUUAAUCGGAAUUACUGGGCGUAAAGCGUGCGCAGGCGGUUUUGUAAGACAGAUGUGAAAUCCCCGGGCUCAACCUGGGAACUGCGUUUGUGACUGCAAGACUUGAGUGUGGCAGAGGGGGGUGGAAUUCCACGUGUAGCAGUGAAAUGCGUAGAGAUGUGGAGGAACACCGAUGGCGAAGGCAGCCCCCUGGGUCAACACUGACGCUCAUGCACGAAAGCGUGGGUAGCAAACAGG